UCUGGGUGAUGCAAAUGGUUAAUGCGUUUGGCUGCUAACCAAAAGGUUGGAGGUUUGAUUCUACCCAGAA
rnacentral:tRNA from 1 species